rnacentral:misc_RNA from 1 species
UCUGGUUCCCAGCUGUUCACUCUGUGAGGAAUUCAUUUACCACAUCUAUUUUGAAGCAUGAUUCUCACUUCAUGUUGCUAGCUUUUGGCAAUAAAGAUUAGUGUUUAUUUUUUAACUCUUUUUUAUGUGCUUCCAGCACUGUAUUUAUUUUUAUUCUUGCCCUGGUUGGCGUAUUUUAUCCAUACAAUCGAGGAGCUCUAUUUACUGCACUG